CUGCAAAGCUCUCAUCUGUUCCUCCCAGACCUAACAGUAACCUCUCCUACCAAGUUGUAAGUAGAUUGUUAUCUAAACAUUGUUCACUGCUCUGAAAACCGGAUCCAGUCCUUUCUUCAUCUGCAACUAAGUUGUUCACUGGCUUGAAGAUUGCUGUCAUCAUUUGAGGCUACAAUACCCACCCAGGUCCAUUGAAAGUGGAUUAAAAGUUGUAUUAUCAUGCUGAACUGGGAAUAUUCAUCAGGAACAGUCCGAAAGAUGGAUAGGAAGUGGAGAUGGUCAUUAAAAACAGGAUUCAGUGCACCAUAACUUAUCUAAAGUUAAAACAAUUAUAGUCAAAUUAUUUAUAUGUAUACUGAUUUAUAUAUAAAUGUACGUAUGUCAUUUAAUUCUAUAUAAAAAAAAUAUAUUUUAUUAAAAGAAGAACAAUUUUUUCUUUCCCAAAGAAGCUGUAAAUUCUAUUUGAGGAUCAGUUUAAUCCACUCUAUGAAAAAAAUAAAAAAAUGUAACCAUCA